rnacentral:rRNA from 1 species
ACCUCGAGUGCUAUCUGAAGAAGGUGGCUUUUCCAUGGUGUAAUGAGCCGUAGGAAUAAGGGGGGGGCAAGACUGGUGUCAGCCGCCGCGGUAACACCAGCCCCCCGAGUGGUGGGGAUGAUUAUUUGGCCUAAAGCGUCCGUAGCCAGCUCGGUAAAUCUCUCGUUAAAUCCAGCGUCCUAAGCGUUGGGCUGCGAGGGAAACUGCCGAACUAGAGGGUGGGAGAGGUCAGCGGUAUUCCUGGGGUAGGGGCGAAAUCCAUUGAUCCCAGGAGGACCACCAGUGGCGAAGGCUGCUGACUAGAACACGCCUGACGGUGAGGGACGAAAGCUGGGGUAGCGAAUCGGAUUAGAUACCCGAGUAGUCCCAGCCGUAAACGAUGCAUGCUAGGUGUUGGGUUGGCCACGAGCCACCCCAGUGCCGCAGGGAAGCCGUUAAGCAUGCCGCCUGGGAAGUACGGUCGCAAGA